AUGGGGAAGAGGCCGAGGUCGACACGGCCGCCUCCCGCGGCUGGCCUCCACAAGUCCAAGCGGGCCAGCGAGGCGGCGGCGGCGGCGAUCUCCGACUCCGACGACGACGAGAUCGACGCCUUCCACAAGCAGCGGGACGUCAUCCCCCUCGACGUCGACGACUCGAGGGACUCGGAGGAGGAUGCUUUGGUGAUGCCUAUCUACGACGUCGAGGGCGUUUCCGACGAUGAGAGCGAUGACAGCGAAGGAGGCGAGGACGGCGAUGAAAGCGAAGAUGGCAGCGAAGGAGGCGAGGACGGCGACGCGCACGCAGGUGAUGUUGAGGUAUGGGACAAGUCAUAUACUGCAAAAAUCAAGAGAGCGCAGAGGGCAGCCAAACAGGCUGCCGGGGAUGAUGGCAGCGCGGAGGAGGAUGAGGAACCGGAGGAUGAUCCAAAGAACUGGGGUACAGGGAAGAAAACAUACUAUGAUGAUCAUGAGCAAGAUGCUGAUGAUGUUGAGUUUGAUGAGCUAAGGAGGCUGCAGGCAGAGAAUAAGCUGUCAAUGAAAGAUUUCGGAUUGGAAGAUGAUGAAAGUGAUGAAGAGGAUAAUAAGCCCUCAAAGGCAUCCGGCCAUCAAGUGAAGCUUGCUGAUGAGGCAUCCCCUCUUGAAAGCUACACGAAGCUGAGGGAAGAUUUUGCUGUCCUGUCAAAAGAUGAGAAGAUGGAUGUAGUGUACAGCUCAGCUCCUGAACUGGUUGGAUUACUGGCUGAUUUGAAUGAUGCCCACGAACAGCUGAAGGCAAUAGGGCCAGUCACCAAUGAGUUGGCAGCUGGGCAAGGCAAGAAUAAGGGUAAAAUGCAGCCAUUGGAGGUGAAGCGAGCUUGUCUGUUGGCUCAUUGUCAAUCCAUUACCUUCUACCUCCUUAUGAGAGCAGAGGGACUGUCUGUGCAGGAUCAUCCUGUAAUUGCUCGGCUGGUAGAGACCAAGAACAUGGUGCAAAAGCUGGCAAAUAUAAAUCUUCCGAACCAAGAUGGGGACACUGAAGACCAUUUUAUGCCUGAUAGCAGCACCCUUGAUGAGGUGAACAAGGCAGUCUCUCUAGAGAAUGAGGGAAAAUCUAGCAAUUUACUAGAUAUGGACAAAGUAAAACAGGGUGCUGAAGUAGCCGAAUUGACAAAGAAUAAGCCUUCUAAGGGGCACCAUGAAAUUGCAAAAAGGAAGGGCAAGGAUGAGCAUAUGGGCUUGCAAAGCAUUGAAAUGUUGAAAAGAAGAGCAAUCCUUGAGGAGGGGUUGAAGCAAAAAGGGCUGUCUAAGUUGAAGCCAAAGUUGUCAAAAACCUUGGCAACCAAUAGUAGGAAAAAACUGCAGACAUUGGAUGACUUUGAUGAUGAAGUGCAGAAAAAUAGUCAAGUGGUCAAACCUACAAAGCUCCUGGUUAAUGCAGCUGGCUCAGUUAGAAACAAGUUUGUUUCUGGUGAUGAUGACAUUCCAAAGCGAGAUGAGAUUGGUGAAAGACGCCGAAAGCAUGAACUACGUGUUCUUGCUCGUAUAGGAACCAAUUCACGUGAAGAUGAUGAGUUGCCAGAAGAUGGUGGUCAUACUGAAGAGAAGCUCAGCCAAUCCAGUGAGGAAGAUGGUGAUGAUCAUGAAUCUUCAGGGUCUGAAGAUGAAUUCUACAAAGAUAUCAAGAGGCAGAGGACCGAAAAGCGCAUGGGCAAAGAACAGAGCACCCCUGCUACUGAGCUGGAGGAAGAAAGCGAAGGAGAUGGCAAGAGGAAGAUUUCGCGGCAGAUAGAGAAGAACCGAGGGCUGACACGCUCCAGAAACAAGCAACUCAAGAAUCCACGUAAGAAAUACAGGAUCAAGAGUGAUAAACAUAGUAAAAGGAGGCAAGGUCAAGUCCGCAGCACGAAGAAGCCCUCUGGUCCCUACGGAGGUGAACUGUCUGGCAUCAAUGCAAACGUCAGCCGUAGUGUUAGGUUCAAGAGUUGA
rnacentral:rRNA from 1 species